UACCUUAUGCGGCAUAGCCGGUAGCGUCUUAUGGACACUGAUGGACUGUCAAGUUUGCUGUAGGUUCGAAUCCUGGUCUAGGGUAA